rnacentral:rRNA from 1 species
AGCGAACGCUGGCGGCAGGCCUAACACAUGCAAGUCGAACGAACUCUUCGGAGUUAGUGGCGGACGGGUGAGUAACACGUGGGAACGUGCCUUUUGGUUCGGAAUAACUCAGGGAAACUUGUGCUAAUACCGAAUGUGCCCUUCGGGGGAAAGAUUUAUCGCCAUUAGAGCGGCCCGCGUCUGAUUAGCUAGUUGGUGAGGUAACGGCUCACCAAGGCGACGAUCAGUAGCUGGUCUGAGAGGAUGACCAGCCACACUGGGACUGAGACACGGCCCAGACCCCCACGGGGGGGAGGAGGGGGGGAUUUUGGCGAAAGGGGGAAAGGCGUAACGAGCCCUGGCGGGGGAAAGAGAAAGGGUUUGGGGAUAGAAAAUUUUUUCCCCGGGGAAGGAAAAUGAGGGCCCCGGGAAAAGAGCCCCCGGCAAACUUGGUC